UACGUAGGGUGCAAGCGUUAAUCGGAAUUACUGGGCGUAAAGCGUGCGCAGGCGGUGAUGUAAGACAGUUGUGAAAUCCCCGGGCUCAACCUGGGAACUGCAUCUGUGACUGCAUCGCUGGAGUGCGGCAGAGGGGGAUGGAAUUCCGCGUGUAGCAGUGAAAUGCGUAGAUAUGCGGAGGAACACCGAUGGCGAAGGCACUUUACUGGGCUAUUAACUAACACUCAGAGACGAAAGCUAGGGUAGCAAAUGGG
rnacentral:rRNA from 1 species